ensembl:lncRNA
UGGCGGGCUAAUGGUCAGCGCACUUUUGUUCGAUUGCCAGGAGAACUCCCAACUGAACUGGUCCAAAGCAGGGCCAGCGAGGCAUCGACUGAAGCAGGGAGCUGGGAGGAGUCAUGGGAGGGUCCGCCAGAAAACGGACCCUGACCUGCUCACCCUACAUAAAUGGAAGGAACAAGGAACUUUUACCGCCUCUGAGCUGGAGACCUGGGGAGUUUGGGAAGAGUGCCACAGAUAUAUUGGUCAUCCAUGUAGCGAGAGAGAACCCUCUCCACGCUGUGCCAACGUUUCUUUUGGAUUGGGAUGAACCAGGAUGUUAAAGGCUGGACGGCCAGUUGCCCUCAGUGUCUGCAAAGCAAAGCGGGACCAGAGAUGAGAGCCCCCUUAAUGUCUAUAACAACCUCAUACCCCUUAGAAAUUGUAGGGAUUGACUAUUUGUCCCUUGUCAAAUGACCCAUACCAGUAUAUCCUAGUGAUUACCGAUUUGUUUUCCAAAUAUGCUCUGGCAGUCCCGACAAAGGAUCAAUCGGCAAUAACCACGGCCAAAGCCUUGUACCAUAGCUUGAUUCACACCUUUGGUUGCCCAGUACGGAUAUUAUCUGACCGAAGGGCGUCGUUUGAAUCUGCCCUACUGGAACAGUUAUGUACCCUUUAUGGCUGUACUAAGAGCCGCGCUACCCCUUAUUACCCCCAGGGGAAUGGGGCAUGUGAAUUUUAAACCAUACUUUACUGUCCUUGUUAGCAUCUCUCUCUGAAAACGUGUAGGCCCAAUGGCCCGACAAGCUUCCUACCUUACUAUCGGCCUAUAAUAACACAACUCAGUGUUACUGGCAUAACUCCACACUUUGUAGUGUUUGGAAGACAGGCCUGUCUUCCGGUAGACAAGAACGAGAUCAACACCGUUAUAACCAGAGAGCUUGUGCACUCCCCCUUCUCCCAGGCGAAAGAGUUUUACCACGAAAUCACCGUAAAUUGAACAAGGGCAAAUUGACUCUGCAUUGAGGCCCAAGAACGAUUUGUCACAGCUUUGGCCGGGCCAUCCCGUGUACGUAAUCAGGCCAGAGGGAAAAGAGGGACCCAACCGAACAGUUCAUAGGAAUAACUUACAUCCCUGCCUAGUUGAUGCCCUGCAGGAACCUUUGGUUACCCUGGAGGAUGGCGGCACGGUGGAGGUUCCUGCACCAGAUGCGUGGUCCCCAAUAUCCUUGGGACAUUUUCCCAGACAAUGCCUGGAUUAGCCCUGGUGACUGGGGCUAGAAGGUAACCGUCCACAAGAACUGGACCAGGAAUGCCUACAAGAGAACACUGAGGGACUGGUCCUCCGAUGUUCUGAUUGAGCUACCCAAGGUAAACCCCCAGGCAGGUUUAGGGACGUUUAGAAACUUGGUCGGGAUGACCAUAUUUUAAGUCAUGGGGAAUGACACAAAUAUCGCUGAGCUCAGUCAUGUCUCCAGCCACCAAACAGUGUGUAGUUUGUUUGUGCAGUGUAAAAUGAUUAUGUAUAAUUUUAUUCUAUUGCAUGCAGGUGUGGUGUAUAGGUUUGAGUGCUUUUGUAGAGUCUUUGCUGUGGGAUUAUAUUUUAUAUGAAUACUCUUUGGUUAUUGUGUGAUGUGCAUGAUUAAUUGAGUUGACAUGGACAUUAAUGAGAAUAAGAAACAGCUAUGGCAAAUUCCAACGACAUCUGGUCCCAGGACUAAUCAACAAACAGGUGGCAUUUAAAAUGGACAAAGAAACGAAAAGAGGGAGGCUUCCCUUUUCCUUGUGUCCUUUUACCUGUCAGCGGAUCUGAGCGUGUUCGACCAGGCUACCAAGACCGAACCACCGACCAGACCGAAUUGGAAGAGAUGACUGCGAAGAACCACUAUUUGCACUAUGCUCUCAAUGGGAUGGAAAGGGAAGUGAUUGUUUCUUUUGAACGAACGUGUAAGGAUCGCUGUGUUAUGCUUUUUCUUUUUUGGAUUGCUAUAUUAUCUUGCUUGAGGUAAUUGAAUACGGGAGAUCGAAUACGGGAGACUGUACAGAGUGGACAAGUAAGAAAAGGAACUGCCACCAUUCCACGACCAGCUGGAGCCAAGCCGGUACGGUAACAUAGGGGCUCGAGCCUAAGUCGCCUACCUUUUUCUAUGGAUGGUUACUUCUGGACUUUAGCAGUGGGAUCGGAUUCAGACAUAUAACCAAAUUGGUGGGGAUUAUUGGGUGAUUUAUCAAAGGGGAAGCUUUGGACUCUUUAUGGGUUGAUCAAGUGAUACAUGAUCAGUAGGCAUACAGAUACGCAUGUCUCAUGUUUUUAUGUUCAAUCUUAAGUCAUUUGGUCAGAAA